rnacentral:ncRNA from 2 species
CAUUUUACUACUCUCCGAGUCACAUCAGCCUACCAGGGAAAAAUCCUCACGGCCUGUGACCUGCGGGUGUCGCCGGAAACAGCGCCGCCCUCCUUUGAAAAGGGGAACUUGUACUUGACGU